AAACCUACAAUUCUGACUGCCAAAAAUGAGCUUCAGAGUUCAGAAGACAAGUCUAGGGCGAUCUACAGGAAACAGCGGUUCUUGGAGCUUCUCGUUUUCCCCACUGGUCUCUGUGCUUCAGAUAACGUCAAGACUUUACCAAGCUCGAAGAUUUAGUGGGUCCUCAGAAAAGCAAGCUAUCUGUGACGUAAUCCUCAUAUGCUGUGGACAGAAAGUAAGGGCAGAGAAGUAUAUUACAAUGAUUCUUUUUUUUUUCCUAAUUCUGAAAAUAAUUUCACAACUACUGUCAGAAAGAUGUAAGCCUGCAAUGUCACAGACACUUUUCCUUAAUUUCUGCAUUUUUGCAAGGGAGUUUAGAUGCAAUCUGACAGCAACCAAAACUUUUUUUCACAUCAGAAAAGAAAACUAUAGCCAAGGAAAUGCCUAAACAAAUGGUAGUCAUUGAUUGCUGUCCUUUAGUUUCUUUUAAAUGUAAAGAGUAAAAGUUGAAUGAUUUUCUUAAAUAAUUCUGAAAAGUAUGUGGCCUUUUUUCCUGGCAGUUUCUCACAUUUCUCAGGGUCUCAUGAAAUUCAGUAUCUUACUACCCCUUAGCUACACAAGCUACUUUUGCUACACAGUCUUCCCCUAAGCACUGCAUCCCAAGUCUCAGGUUUUGAGAACCAAGUUUUCCCUGAGCCGAAGUGAG
ensembl:lncRNA